AGAUUGAACGCUGGCGGCAUGCCUUACACAUGCAAGUCGAACGGCAGCACGGGAGCAAUCCUGGUGGCGAGUGGCGAACGGGUGAGUAAUACAUCGGAACGUGCCCAGUAGUGGGGGAUAGCCCGGCGAAAGUCGGAUUAAUACCGCAUACGACCUACGGGUGAAAGCGGGGGAUCGCAAGACCUCGCGCUAUCGGAGCGGCCGAUGUCAGAUUAGCUUGUUGGCGGGGUAAAAGCCCACCAAGGCGACGAUCUGUAGCUGGUCUGAGAGGACGACCAGCCACACUGGGACUGAGACACGGCCCAGACUCCUACGGGAGGCAGCAGUGGGGAAUUUUGGACAAUGGGCGCAAGCCUGAUCCAGCCAUGCGCGUGCGGGAGAAGGCCUGGUUGUAACGCUUUGUCAGGAGAAAGCUCCAGAUAAUACCUUGAGUCAUGACGGUACCUGAAGAAUAAGCACCGGCUAACUACGUGCCGCAGCCG
rnacentral:rRNA from 1 species